rnacentral:lncRNA from 1 species
CCAAACUUAGCUUUUUGCUUGUCCUCAAGCAAAACAAGACUCAAACAAAAAUAAAAAUUUAACAAACUAGACAACUAGCUAAAAUUAACUGACAAAAAUUUUCACCUUCAAAGUUGCAAUCCAUAGCAAAUUUUAAAAACUAGAACAUCUUUUCAAAAGUUCCAACCAAUCCCACCACAGAGUCUAAGCCAUUUAGAAUCAAUUAGAAAAGAAUUCACAAACUUCCUUUGGUGUAAAGUGAA